UGCCAGCCGCCGCGGUAACACGGGGGGCGCAAGCGUUAUUCGGAAUUAUUGGGCGUAAAGCGCGCGUAGGCGGCUAUGUAAGUCAGAUGUGAAAGCCCGCGGCUCAACCGUGGAAGUGCAUUUGAAACUGCAUAGCUUGAGUACUGGAGGGGGUAGUGGAAUUCCCGGUGUAGAGGUGAAAUUCGUAGAUAUCGGGAGGAAUACCGGUGGCGAAGGCGACUACCUGGCCAGAUACUGACGCUGAGGUGCGAAAGCGUGGGGAGCAAACAGGAUUAGAUA
rnacentral:rRNA from 1 species